ensembl:lncRNA
CAAUGUUAUGAUCAGGUGUUGAAUUAUAUGUAUUGUGUUAAAUGUUUGUUUUAAGUGCAUGAUGAGUUUUUGAAUCCCUCCUUACUAUAGCUCCAAGCUGCCUGUUCGACAAAGGAUCAAUGUUUAUCAGAAAAGAAUGUUGAAACGGUGGCAUCGACAACUCUGCUUACUGUGGUGCUUCAUCCAGAAUUUGUAUGUUUGAAUUUUCUAAGCACCUAGAUAACAGUGCAAUGCGUAAAAAUCUUUAAGUAAUUUGUUUAUAUCCAAUAUAGGCGAUUCGCCAAAUGUUGGGAGGUAGCCUUGAAGGGAGAUCUAUAUUAAGCACUUUGGAUGAGAAGCAAUCAAUUACAUCCAAAGAGAGGAAGCUUCUUGUGAGACUUCUGGUAUCCCACCUUAUUGAAAAACAUGGCGAAAUGCCACCCUCAGACACUAAGAUAGCACUUGCCAUGGCGUUGAUUUAUGAAUUUCCAUGUCUUAAGGAUGACACAGGCAGCAGCUAUGGAGCAUGGUACACACCUGGCCGAAAACACAGACCUGCUACAGGUUUUUUGGAGGAGCGCUUGAGAAAUGUCAGAAAGCGUAUGAGGAGCCUGAUUCGCCCGCGCCAACAGGAACCACAAGAGGACCAUGCUGUCCUUACACCAGAUUCACUUUCAUCUCCCCAAAAUAUUCGAGAGAUGGUUGCCUGGCUGAAAGCUAACAAAUAUCCAGUCUCUGAAGUGGAGGCCAAGAUGAAGGAAACCUCCAUACACAGAAGCAAAUGGAUUAGAUGUAACGGCUCCAAAACCAUCAGUGAAAUCCUGAGGGAGUUUCCCAGGCUGACAGACAAUCCUGGCAUGAUAUCGCAAGACUUUCAGCAACUUCAUCCUGAGGCAGCAGGACAAAUGUUUGAGAAGUGGCCUGCAAUUGCAGACAAAAUCUUAAAAUAUGCCCAACGAGAGGG